rnacentral:lncRNA from 1 species
UGUCUUGUUCGAAUUCUCAGAGAGAUGGCUUUCAGAUUUACACCACUAAGUAUGAUGUUGGCUAUGGGAUUGUCAUAUGUGGCCUUUAUUACACUGAGGUACUUUCCUCCUAUACACAUUUUAUUGAGAAUUUUUAUCACAAAUGGAUUUGGGAUCUUGCCAAAUGUUUUCUCUGCAUCUAUUGAGAUGAUCGUGUGAAUUUUACUCUUCAUGUUGUUAAUGUGAUGUGUCACAUUGAUUGAUUUAUGGAUGCUGAACAAUGCCUCUGUCACUGGUAUAAGUCCCCCUUGAUCAUGGUGAACGAUCAUUUUAACAUACGGCUGUAUUCAGUUUGCCAAUAUUUUGUUGAGCAUUUUUAUAUCUAUGCUCACCAGUGAUAAUGGCCUGUAAUUUUCCGUAUUCAUGUUGUCCUUGUCUAGUUUUGGUAUCAGCGUGGUGUUGGCCUCAUAGAAUGAGUUAGGAAGGCUUCCAUCUUCAAUGUUUUGGAAUAGUUAGAGAAGGACAGGUGUUAAAUCUUCUUUCAAAUGUUUGGUAGAAUUCUCCAGGGAAGCCAUCUGGUCCUGGACUUUUGGUUUGUGAGAAGUUAUGUUUACUGUCAUGACACUCUGAGAACUUUAAAUCCAUGUUUCAUUAUCAUCUGUAGUGAACUAUCGAUUGUUUUAUAAAUUUUAGAAAUAUCCUAUCUUAACAAUUCUUUCGCAUUGCUUUUUCAGUUAAAAGAGUUAAUUUUGUUCAGCAUAACACUUCAAUCCAUUUUAAAUGCUUUACAACUCUGCUUUUGGGAUUUCUUAAAUUUUUAAAGAUUAAGUAACUUGGGCUUCUCUUAAUGGCUGAGAUGCCCUGUCUGCUGAUUAAUAGAGUCGGUGUAUGAUUGUAUUCUGUGUGAUAAUCCUGUAAAAUAAAGGACUUAUGGUUUAAGUCUGCUUAGCCUUUCAUCUAAUAUUUGGCUGCUAUCUUACGCCAGGCAUUGAUCUAGGAACUGCAGAUAUAUCCCACAGAAUUCCCUGCCCUCAUCAAGUUGACAUUCCAGUGGGGCAAACCAUCAAUAAACAAAUAAAUAAAUAAUGACAGCUGAGUAUAAGGAAAGUGAGACAGUUAAUGUCAAGUGAAGAAGUAGUUGUGAGAGUAGGGAGAAAGGUUUAUUUUAAAUAAAAAUGAGGGAACAAAAGCCUUAUUGAUAAUCUGACAUUUGAACAGAAAUUAUUUACCUAUGCUACUCUUCUUUCUUGGCCUCUAUGCAUCAUAAUUCCAAUAAGUAGAGGCCAUGGAGGGACAUC